ACAUCAAAGGCACAAGGGACCUCAUCCCGACGAGAGAGAAAACUCUUGUCGAAAAUCUCUAGUCCUUAAGGACAAAUCGACACAAUGGCAACCAGGAACCUUCAAACUACAUCGACAACGAACAAGACAGAAGAUAGAAGAAGUUCAGUGAACGACGAAUCAAUGCAAGAACCAGCAAGGGAUUACAAACUACGUCGAUGCCAAACA
rnacentral:lncRNA from 1 species